rnacentral:rRNA from 1 species
GGUUAAGCGACUAAGCGUACACGGUGGAUGCCCUGGCAGUCAGAGGCGAUGAAGGGCGUGCUAAUCUGCGAUAAGCGCCGGUAAGGUGAUAUGAACCGUUAUAACCGGCGAUACCCGAAUGGGGAAACCCAGUGUGACUCGUCACACUAUCAUUAACUGAAUCCAUAGGUUAAUGAGGCGAACCGGGGGAACUGAAACAUCUAAGUACCCCGAGGAAAAGAAAUCAACCGAGAUUCCCCCAGUAGCGGCGAGCGAACGGGGAGGAGCCCAGAGCCUGAAUCAGCAUGUGUGUUAGUGGAAGCGUCUGGAAAGGCGCGCGAUACAGGGUGACAGCCCCGUACACAAAAGCGCAUGUGCUGUGAGCUCGAUGAGUAGGGCGGGACACGUGGUAUCCUGUCUGAAUAUGGGGGGACCAUCCUCCAAGGCUAAAUACUCCUGACUGACCGAUAGUGAACCAGUACCGUGAGGGAAAGGCGAAAAGAACCCCGGCGAGGGGAGUGAAAAAGAACCUGAAACCGUGUACGUACAAGCAGUGGGAGCCCCACCACCAAAGCAUUCUCUGGUGUUGAAGGCCCUGCAAAGCAGCAUCGCGGUGGCGGAGCGUCGUUUGCGACGCCCAACACACAAAACAAGCGGUGAAUGCUUUGGGGUGGGGUGACUGCGUACCUUUUGUAUAAUGGGUCAGCGACUUAUAUUCUGUAGCAAGGUUAACCGAAUAGGGGAGCCGGAGGGAAACCGAGUCUUAAUUGGGCGUUAAGUUGCAGGGUAUAGACCCGAAACCCGGUGAUCUAGCCAUGGGCAGGUUGAAGGUUGGGUAACACUAACUGGAGGACCGAACCGACUAAUGUUGAAAAAUUAGCGGAUGACCUGUGGCUGGGGGUGAAAGGCCAAUCAAACCGGGAGAUAGCUGGUUCUCCCCGAAAGCUAUUUAGGUAGCGCCUCGUGAAUUCAUCUCCGGGGGUAGAGCACUGUUUCGGCUAGGGGGCCAUCCCGGCUUACCAACCCGAUGCAAACUGCGAAUACCGGAGAAUGUUAUCACGGGAGACACACGGCGGGUGCUAACGUCCGUCGUGAAGAGGGAAACAACCCAGACCGCCAGCUAAGGUCCCAAAGUCAUGGUUAAGUGGGAAACGAUGUGGGAAGGCCCAGACAGCCAGGAUGUUGGCUUAGAAGCAGCCAUCAUUUAAAGAAAGCGUAAUAGCUCACUGGUCGAGUCGGCCUGCGCGGAAGAUGUAACGGGGCUAAACCAUGCACCGAAGCUGCGGCAGCGAACGUAUCACCCAAGACAACUUUACGGAGUUGACGAUUGACGGAGCGAAGCGACGUCAAAGCGUUCAUUAAAGUCGAGUUGGCUUAGGGAUACGUUCGUUGGGUAGGGGAGCGUUCUGUAAGCCUGUGAAGGUGUGUCGUGAGGCAUGCUGGAGGUAUCAGAAGUGCGAAUGCUGACAUAAGUAACGAUAAAGCGGGUGAAAAGCCCGCUCGCCGGAAGACCAAGGGUUCCUGUCCAACGUUAAUCGGGGCAGGGUGAGUCGACCCCUAAGGCGAGGCCGAAAGGCGUAGUCGAUGGGAAACGGGUUAAUAUUCCCGUACUUGGUGUUACUGCGAAGGGGGGACGGAGAAGGCUAUGUUGGCCGGGCGACGGUUGUCCCGGUUUAAGCGUGUAGGUGUGUGUUCCAGGUAAAUCCGGUUCACUUUAACACUGAGGCGUGACGACGAGGCACUACGGUGCUGAAGCAACAAAUGCCCUGCUUCCAGGAAAAGCCUCUAAGCAUCAGGUAACAUCAAAUCGUACCCCAAACCGACACAGGUGGUCAGGUAGAGAAUACCAAGGCGCUUGAGAGAACUCGGGUGAAGGAACUAGGCAAAAUGGUGCCGUAACUUCGGGAGAAGGCACGCUGACACGUAGGUGAAGUGAUUUACUCAUGGAGCUGAAGUCAGUCGAAGAUACCAGCUGGCUGCAACUGUUUAUUAAAAACACAGCACUGUGCAAACACGAAAGUGGACGUAUACGGUGUGACGCCUGCCCGGUGCCGGAAGGUUAAUUGAUGGGGUCAGCGCAAGCGAAGCUCCUGAUCGAAGCCCCGGUAAACGGCGGCCGUAACUAUAACGGUCCUAAGGUAGCGAAAUUCCUUGUCGGGUAAGUUCCGACCUGCACGAAUGGCGUAAUGAUGGCCAGGCUGUCUCCACCCGAGACUCAGUGAAAUUGAACUCGCUGUGAAGAUGCAGUGUACCCGCGGCAAGACGGAAAGACCCCGUGAACCUUUACUAUAGCUUGACACUGAACAUUGAGCCUUGAUGUGUAGGAUAGGUGGGAGGCUUUGAAGUGUGGACGCCAGUCUGCAUGGAGCCGACCUUGAAAUACCACCCUUUAAUGUUUGAUGUUCUAACGUGGACCCGUAAUCCGGGUUGCGGACAGUGUCUGGUGGGUAGUUUGACUGGGGCGGUCUCCUCCUAAAGAGUAACGGAGGAGCACGAAGGUUGGCUAAUCCUGGUCGGACAUCAGGAGGUUAGUGCAAUGGCAUAAGCCAGCUUGACUGCGAGCGUGACGGCGCGAGCAGGUGCGAAAGCAGGUCAUAGUGAUCCGGUGGUUCUGAAUGGAAGGGCCAUCGCUCAACGGAUAAAAGGUACUCCGGGGAUAACAGGCUGAUACCGCCCAAGAGUUCAUAUCGACGGCGGUGUUUGGCACCUCGAUGUCGGCUCAUCACAUCCUGGGGCUGAAGUAGGUCCCAAGGGUAUGGCUGUUCGCCAUUUAAAGUGGUACGCGAGCUGGGUUUAGAACGUCGUGAGACAGUUCGGUCCCUAUCUGCCGUGGGCGCUGGAGAACUGAGGGGGGCUGCUCCUAGUACGAGAGGACCGGAGUGGACGCAUCACUGGUGUUCGGGUUGUCAUGCCAAUGGCACUGCCCGGUAGCUAAAUGCGGAAGAGAUAAGUGCUGAAAGCAUCUAAGCACGAAACUUGCCCCGAGAUGAGUUCUCCCUGAGACUUAGAGUCUCCUGAAGGAACGUUGAAGACGACGACGUUGAUAGGCCGGGUGUGUAAGCGCAGCGAUGCGUUGAGCUAACCGGUACUAAUGAACCGUGAGGCUUAACCUUACAACGCCGAAGAUGUUUUG